UUAAUUAAAUUAUUAUUUAAAUGGGUUAACCCAUAUUAAAUGAGUUAUAGGUAGACCCAACCUAUUUAACAAAAUGAGUUGGGUCAACCCAUAACUCAUUUAACCUUAAACUCAUUUGAUUAUGAGU
rnacentral:pre_miRNA from 14 species